AAUGAACGUUGGCGGCGUGGAUUAGGCAUGCAAGUCGAGCGAGAACCGUAGCAAUACGGGGACAGCGGCGAAAGGGAGAGGAACACGUGGGUACCUACCCUCGGAUCCGGGAUAGCCAUGGGAAACUAUGGGUAAUACCGGAUGACGUCUUCGGACCAAAGGUGUGAUUCCGUCCGGGGAGGGGCCCGCGUCCUAUUAGCUAGUUGGCGAGGUAACGGCUCACCAAGGCAGAGAUGGGUACGGGAUGUGAGAGCAUGAUCCCGCUCACUGGGACUGAGACACUGCCCAGACACCUACGGGUGGCAG
rnacentral:rRNA from 1 species